rfam:Bacteroides finegoldii CAG:203 genomic scaffold, scf35
AUGCGAUCGACCUGAAGCUGUUCAUGGGUAUGUGAAUAUAUAUGAACAGUACUUAUACCUCUCCGGUAUAGACAGGGGAUU